ensembl:lncRNA
UUCUUACCCACUGUGCCACCAGAGAAGUCCUGUGCUUUUUGAGGAACUGCCAAAAUGUUUUCCACAGUGGUUGCACAAUUUACAUUCCUACCAGCAACAAACAAGGACUCCAGUUUUUCUGCAUCCUCACUAACACUUGAUCAAAAUCUCCACUAUGUUAUCUUUAUUGCAAACCAAGCCUUGAGUGACUUACGUCACUUCUCCUGUUACAGUUUCAGAUCCUGGCCAGCAUCACCAUCACUGCCAAGCCCACCCUCACACCCGCUAGCCGAAAAGACGUCGUCGUUUAGUUGCUAGUGUUUCUGUUCGGUUGCUCAGUGUCUGACUCUUUGCGACCUCAUGGACGACAGCACACCGGACUUCCCUGUCCUUCACCAUCUCCCAGAACUUGCUCGUGGCCAACUCUUUGCAACCCCAUGAACUGUAGCCCACCAGGCUCCUCUGUCCGUGGGAUUUCCCAGAAUGCUGGAGCAGCAUGCGUGGGGCAGACAACGGGACCCCAGCCCCAGAGGGAGCAUCCGUCCCCGCUUCACCACUGCCAGAGUCACAGGAGGGAGCUCCCAGCCAGAGAAGGCUCCUGCCCUCGAGUGAAGGUG